rnacentral:rRNA from 1 species
GACGAACGCUGGCGGCGUGCUUAACACAUGCAAGUCGAACGGAAAGGCCCUGCUUUUGUGGGGUGCUCGAGUGGCGAACGGGUGAGUAACACGUGAGUAACCUGCCCUUGACUUUGGGAUAACUUCAGGAAACUGGGGCUAAUACCGGAUAGGAGCUCCUGCUGCAUGGUGGGGGUUGGAAAGUUUCGGCGGUUGGGGAUGGACUCGCGGCUUAUCAGCUUGUUGGUGGGGUAGUGGCUUACCAAGGCUUUGACGGGUAGCCGGCCUGAGAGGGUGACCGGCCACAUUGGGACUGAGAUACGGCCCAGACUCCUACGGGAGGCAGCAGUGGGGAAUAUUGCACAAUGGGCGGAAGCCUGAUGCAGCAACGCCGCGUGCGGGAUGACGGCCUUCGGGUUGUAAACCGCUUUCGCCUGUGACGAAGCGUGAGUGACGGUAAUGGGUAAAGAAGCACCGGCUAACUACGUGCCAGCAGCCGCGGUGAUACGUAGGGUGCGAGCGUUGUCCGGAUUUAUUGGGCGUAAAGGGCUCGUAGGUGGUUGAUCGCGUCGGAAGUGUAAUCUUGGGGCUUAACCCUGAGCGUGCUUUCGAUACGGGUUGACUUGAGGAAGGUAGGGGAGAAUGGAAUUCCUGGUGGAGCGGUGGAAUGCGCAGAUAUCAGGAGGAACACCAGUGGCGAAGGCGGUUCUCUGGGCCUUUCCUGACGCUGAGGAGCGAAAGCGUGGGGAGCGAACAGGCCUAGAUACCCUGGUAGUCCACGCUGUAAACGGUGGGUACUAGGUGUGGGGUCCAUUCCACGGGUUCCGUGCCGUAGCUAACGCUUUAAGUACCCCGCCUGGGGAGUACGGCCGCAGGGCUAAAACCCAAAGGAAUUGACGGGGCCCCGCACAAGCGGCGGAGCAUGCGGAUUAAUUCGAUGCAACGCGUAGAACCUUACCUGGGUUUGACAUGGAUCGGGAGUGCUCAGAGAUGGGUGUGCCUCUUUUGGGGUCGGUUCACAGGUGGUGCAUGGCUGUCGUCAGCUCGUGUCGUGAGAUGUUGGGUUAAGUCCCGCAACGAGCGCAACCCUUGUUCACUGUUGCCAGCACGUUAUGGUGGGGACUCAGUGGAGACCGCCGGGGUCAACUCGGAGGAAGGUGGGGAUGACGUCAAGUCAUCAUGCCCCUUAUGUCCAGGGCUUCACGCAUGCUACAAUGGCUGGUACAGAGAGUGGCGAGCCUGUGAGGGUGAGCGAAUCUCGGAAAGCCGGUCUCAGUUCGGAUUGGGGUCUGCAACUCGACCUCAUGAAGUCGGAGUCGCUAGUAAUCGCAGAUCAGCAACGCUGCGGUGAAUACGUUCCCGGGGCU